rnacentral:rRNA from 1 species
AUUGAACGCUGGCGGCAUGCUUUACACAUGCAAGUCGAACGGCAGCGCGGGGCAACCUGGCGGCGAGUGGCGAACGGGUGAGUAAUACAUCGGAACGUACCCAGAAGUGGGGGAUAACGUAGCGAAAGUUACGCUAAUACCGCAUACGUUCUGCGGAAGAAAGUGGGGGACCUUCGGGCCUCAUGCUUUUGGAGCGGCCGAUGUCUGAUUAGCUAGUUGGUGAGGUAAAGGCUCACCAAGGCGACGAUCAGUAGCUGGUCUGAGAGGACGACCAGCCACACGGGGCCGGAGCCGCGCCCCAGCCCCCUCGGGGAGGAGGAGGGGGGAAAUUUUGGACAAGGGGCGCAAGCCUGACCCAGAAAUGCCGGGUGAGGAAAGAGGGCCUUGGGUUUGUAAAGCUUUUUUGUGAGGGAAGAACCGGCUGAGGAUAAUACCUUCGGCAAAGGCCGGUACCUGAAAAAAAACCCCCGGCUAAUUACGUC